rnacentral:rRNA from 1 species
UACGUAGGGGGCUAGCGUUGUCCGGAAUCAUUGGGCGUAAAGAGCGUGUAGGCGGUCCGGUAAGUCCGCUGUGAAAGUCGGGGGCUCAACCCUCGAAUGCCGGUGGAUACUGUCGGGCUAGAGUGCGGAAGAGGCGAGUGGAAUUCCUGGUGUAGCGGUGAAAUGCGCAGAUAUCAGGAGGAACACCGAUUGCGAAGGCAGCUCGCUGGGACGUUACUGACGCUGAGACGCGAAGGCGUGGGGAGCAAACAGG